rnacentral:rRNA from 1 species
AGGUAAGCUACUAAGAGCGAAUGGUGGAUGCCUUGACUGGUAAAGGCGAUGAAGGACGUACUAGACUGCGAUAAGCUACGGGGAGCUGUCAAGAAGCUUUGAUCCGUAGAUUUCCGAAUGGGUCAACCCAAUGUAUAGAGAUAUACAUUACCUAUAUAGGAGCGAACGAGGGGAAUUGAAACAUCUUAGUACCCUCAGGAAAAGAAAUCAAUAGAGAUUGCGUCAGUAGCGGCGAGCGAAAGCGCAAGAGGGCAAACCCAGUGCUUGCACUGGGGGUUGUAGGACUGCAAUGUGCAAGAGGUAAGUUUAGCAGAACAUUCUGGAAAGUAUAACCAUAGAGGGUGAUAGUCCCGUAUGCGAAAAACAAACCUUAGCUAGCAGUAUCCUGAGUAGGGCGGGACACGAGGAAUCCUGUCUGAAUCCGGGUCGACCACGAUCCAACCCUAAAUACUAAUACCAGAUCGAUAGUGCACAAGUACCGUGAGGGAAAGGUGAAAAGAACUGAGGUGAUCAGAGUGAAAUAGAACCUGAAACCAUUUGCUUACAAUCAUUCAGAGCCCUAUGUAGCAAUACAGGGUGAUGGACUGCCUUUUGCAUAAUGAGCCUGCGAGUUGUGGUGUCUGGCAAGGUUAAGCAAACGCGAAGCCGUAGCGAAAGCGAGUCUGAAUAGGGCGCUUAGUCAGAUGCUGCAGACCCGAAACGAAGUGAUCUAUCCAUGAGCAAGUUGAAGCUAGUGUAAGAACUAGUGGAGGACUGAACCCAUAGGCGUUGAAAAGCCCCGGGAUGACUUGUGGAUAGGGGUGAAAGGCCAAUCAAACUUCGUGAUAGCUGGUUCUCUCCGAAAUAUAUUUAGGUAUAGCGUUGUGUCGUAAUAUAAGGGGGUAGAGCACUGAAUGGGCUAGGGCAUACACCAAUGUACCAAACCCUAUCAAACUCCGAAUACCUUAUAUGUAAUCACAGCAGUCAGGCGGCGAGUGAUAAAAUCCGUCGUCAAGAGGGAAACAACCCAGACUACCAGCUAAGGUCCCUAAAUCUUACUUAAGUGGAAAACGAUGUGAAGUUACUUAAACAACCAGGAGGUUGGCUUAGAAGCAGCCAUCCUUUAAAGAAAGCGUAAUAGCUCACUGGUCUAGUGAUUUUGCGCGGAAAAUAUAACGGGGCUAAAGUAAGUACCGAAGCUGUAGACUUAGUUUACUAAGUGGUAGGAGAGCGUUCUAUUUGCGUCGAAGGUAUACCGGUAAGGAGUGCUGGAGCGAAUAGAAGUGAGCAUGCAGGCAUGAGUAGCGAUAAUUAAUGUGAGAAUCAUUAACGCCGUAAACCCAAGGUUUCCUACGCGAUGCUCGUCAUCGUAGGGUUAGUCGGGUCCUAAGUCGAGUCCGAAAGGGGUAGACGAUGGCAAAUUGGUUAAUAUUCCAAUACCAACAUUAGUGUGCGAUGGAAGGACGCUUAGGGCUAAGGGGGCUAGCGGAUGGAAGUGCUAGUCUAAGGUCGUAGGAGGUUGUACAGGCAAAUCCGUAUAACAAUACUCCGAGAACUGAAAGGCUUUUUGAAGUCUUCGGAUGGAUAGAAGAACCCCUGAUGCCGUCGAGCCAAGAAAAGUUUCUAAGUUUAGCUAAUGUUGCCCGUACCGUAAACCGACACAGGUGGGUGGGAUGAGUAUUCUAAGGCGCGUGGAAGAACUCUCUUUAAGGAACUCUGCAAAAUAGCACCGUAUCUUCGGUAUAAGGUGUGGUUAGCUUUGUAUUAGGAUUUACUCCGAAAGCAAGGAAACUUACAACAAAGAGUCCCUCCCGACUGUUUACCAAAAACACAGCACUCUGCUAACUCGUAAGAGGAUGUAUAGGGUGUGACGCCUGCCCGGUGCUCGAAGGUUAAUUGAUGGGGUUAGCAUUAGCGAAGCUCUUGAUCGAAGCCCGAGUAAACGGCGGCCGUAACUAUAACGGUCCUAAGGUAGCGAAAUUCCUUGUCGGUUAAAUACCGACCUGCAUGAAUGGCGUAACGAGAUGGGAGCUGUCUCAAAGAGGGAUCCAGUGAAAUUGUAGUGGAGGUGAAAAUUCCUCCUACCCGCGGCAAGACGGAAAGACCCCGUGGACCUUUACUACAGCUUGACACUGCUACUUGGAUAAGAAUGUGCAGGAUAGGUGGGAGGCUUUGAGUAUAUGACGCCAGUUGUAUAUGAGCCAUUGUUGAGAUACCACUCUUUCUUAUUUGGGUAGCUAACCAGCUUGAGUUAUCCUCAAGUGGGACAAUGUCUGGUGGGUAGUUUGACUGGGGCGGUCGCCUCCCAAAUAAUAACGGAGGCUUACAAAGGUUGGCUCAGAA